UACGUAGGGGGCAAGCGUUGUUCGGAAUUACUGGGCGUAAAGGGCGCGUAGGCGGCACAGCAAGUCGGGAGUGAAAGCCCGGGGCUCAACCCCGGAAUGGCUUUCGAAACUGCUGAGCUAGAGUACAGAAGGGGCAACCGGAAUUCCCAGUGUAGCGGUGAAAUGCGUAGAUAUUGGGAAGAACACCCGAGGCGAAGGCGGGUUGCUGGGCUGAUACUGACGCUGAGGCGCGAAAGCUAGGGGAGCAAACGGG
rnacentral:rRNA from 1 species